rnacentral:rRNA from 1 species
GAUUAAGCCAUGCAUGUCUAAGUAUAAGCAAUUAUACCGCGAAACUGCGAAUGGCUCAUUAUAUAAGUUAUCGUUUAUUUGAUAGUACCUUACUACUUGGAUAACCGUGGUAAUUCUAGAGCUAAUACAUGCUAAAAAUCCCGACUUCGGAAGGGAUGUAUUUAUUAGAUUAAAAACCAAUGCCCUUCGGGGCUCACUGGUGAUUCAUGAUAACUCCUCGAAUCGCAUGGCCUUGUGCCGGCGAUGGUUCAUUCAAAUUUCUUCCCUAUCAACUUUCGAUGUUUGGGUAUUGGCCAAACAUGGUUGCAACGGGUAACGGGGAAU